AACGAACGCUGGCGGCGUGCCUAACACAUGCAAGUCGAACGCGAAAAGCAGUAAUGCUGAGUAAUGUGGCGCACGGGUGAGUAACACGUGGGUAACCUGCCCUUGGAUUCGGGAUAACUGGCCGAAAGGCCCGCUAAUACCGGAUAAGACCACAUAGGCCUUGGCCUAAGCGGUCAAAGUCGGCCUCUCAUAGAAGCCGGCGUCUGAGGAUGGGCCCGCGGACCAUUAGCUGGUUGGUGAGGUAACGGCUCACCAAGGAUAAGAUGGAUAGCUGGUCUGAGAGGAUGAUCAGCCACACUGGAACUGAGAUACGGUCCAGACUCCUACGGGAGGCAGCAGUGAGGAAUAUUGCGCAAUGGAGGCAACUCUGACGCAGCAACGCCGCGUGGGUGAAGAGGGCUUUCGGGUUGUAAAGCCCUGUCAGGUGGGAAGAAACCUCUUUGAGUGAAUAGCUCAGGGAACUGACGGUACCACCAAAGGAAGCACCGGCUAACUCCGUGCCAGCCGCCGCGGUAAUAC
rnacentral:rRNA from 1 species